AUUGAACGCUGGCGGCAGGCCUAACACAUGCAAGUUGAACGAGCGGCGGACGGGUGAGUCAUGUCUGGGAAACUGCCUGAUGGAGGGGGAUAACUACUGGAAACGGUAGCUAAUACCGCAUACCAUCAGAUGUGCCCCGAUGGGAUUAGCGAGUUGGUGGGGUAACAGCUGACCAAGGCGACGAUCCCUAGCUGGUCUGAGAGGGUGACCAGCCACGCUGGAACUGAGCCACGGUCCAAGCUCCACCGGGAGGCAGCAGUGGGGAAUAUUGCACGAUGGGCGCAAGCCUGAUGCAGCCAUGCCGCGUGUAUGAAGAAGGCAUUCGGGUUGUAGAAUGCGUUCAGCGGGGAGGCGUUACCCGCAGAAGAAGCACCGGCUAACUCCGUGCCAGCCGCCGCGGUAAUAC
rnacentral:rRNA from 1 species